rnacentral:rRNA from 1 species
AUUGAACGCUGGCGGCAGGCCUAACACAUGCAAGUCGAGCGGAUGAAGGGAGCUUGCUCCUGGAUUCAGCGGCGGACGGGUGAGUAAUGCCUAGGAAUCUGCCUGGUAGUGGGGGAUAACGUCCGGAAACGGGCGCUAAUACCGCAUACGUCCUGAGGGAGAAAGUGGGGGAUCUUCGGACCUCACGCUAUCAGAUGAGCCUAGGUCGGAUUAGCUAGUUGGUGGGGUAAAGGCCUACCAAGGCGACGAUCCGUAACUGGUCUGAGAGGAUGAUCAGUCACACUUGAACCGAGACACGGUCCAGACUCCUACGGGAGGCAGCAGUGGGGAAUAUUGGACGAUGGGCGAAAUCCUGAUCCAGCCAGGCCGCGUGAUAGAAGAAGGUCUUCGGAUUGUAAAGCACUGUAAGUUGGGAGGAAGGGCAGUAAGUUAAUACCUUGCUGUUUUGACGUUACCAACAGAAUAAGCACCGGCUAACUUCGUG